GCAAAACAAAAUUCCACAAAAAAUGAUUUAUCUGUCAGGGAGAGAGAAAAGAAAGAGGAAGAAUAGAGAAAAAGUCAAGAUAAAGGUAUGUUUUAACAUGUCUUGGUAAUGUAAUGUUUAU